AAAAAAGAUAAACUUAGGUUUCCGUAUCCAACAUUUGAUUAUCCGUCUUAUAUGAAUUUUUUUAUAAUUAGUAUUUUCAUUGUUGUUAGGUGACUUGUCUUUUUGAUUUUUUCAAAUAAGACGGAUGGUCAAACGUUGGACACGGAAACUCAGAGUU
rnacentral:pre_miRNA from 1 species